AAUCAACGCUGGCGGCGUGCCUAACACAUGCAAGUCGAGCGAGAAAGGGGCUUCGGCCCCAAGUAAAGCGGCGCACGGGUGAGUAACACGUGGGUAAUCUGCCUUGGAGUGGGGAAUAACACCGGGAAACCGGUGCUAAUACCGCAUACGAUGACGAGAUCUGCGGAUUUUGUCAUGAAAGGAGCAAUUCGCUCCAAGAGGAGCCCGCGGCUGAUUAGCUAGUUGGUGAGGUAAUGGCUCACCAAGGCAUCGAUCAGUAGCCGGUCUGAGAGGACGGUCGGCCACACUGGAACUGAGACACGGUCCAGACUCCUACGGGAGGCAGCAGUGGGGAAUUUUUGGCAAUGGGGGCAACCCUGACCAAGCAACGCCGCGUGGAUGAUGAAGUCUCUUGGGACGUAAAAUCCUUUCGACGGGGAAGAAAACCGCAAGGUUGACGGUACCCGUAGAAGAAGCCCCGGCUAACUCCGUG
rnacentral:rRNA from 1 species